ensembl:lncRNA
UUACCUUAGUCACACUGUGGCUUUAAUGUUGAGGUGGUGCCGUCUCUGAUUGGUGGAGCAUGUUGAGGUGGUGCAGCCUCUGAUUGGUAGAGCAUGUUGAGGUCUCUGAUUGGUAGAGCAUGUUGAGCAUGUUGAGGUCUCUGAUUGGUAGAGCAUGUUGAGGUCUCUGAUUGGUAGAGCAUGUUGAGCAUGUUGAGGUCUCUGAUUGGUAGAGCAUGUUGUGUUGAGGUGGUGCAGCCUCUGAUUGGUAGAGUAGAGCAUGUUGUGUUGAGGUGGAGCAGCCUC